UUGAACGCUGGCGGCAGGCCUAACACAUGCAAGUCGAGCGGAUGAAGGGAGCUUGCUCCUGGAUUCAGCGGCGGACGGGUGAGUAAUGCCUAGGGAAUCUGCCCGGUAGUGGGGGAUAACGUCCGGAAACGGGCGCUAAUACCGCAUACGUCCUGAGGGAGAAAGUGGGGGAUCUUCGGACCUCACGCUAUCAGAUGAGCCUAGGUCGGAUUAGCUAGUUGGUGGGGUAAAGGCCUACCAAGGCGACGAUCCGUAACUG
rnacentral:rRNA from 1 species